GCGGGAUUAGUUUAGUGGCAAAAUAGCUCUCUUCCAAAGAGCAGUCGCCGGUCCGAUUCCGGCAUCCCGCACAA
rnacentral:tRNA from 1 species